GAAGCAAACCGGAAAUAACCACCCUGGAGGUCCUGCUUUUCAGCAUUUUCCCGAGCUCUCUAAAGUCACGCUGCAGAAUAUUCAUCCGCUUCUUUCCGACAUCGUUUGUGCCGACAUGCACUACCUCUUCCGGCUGUUCAUCUUUGCCUUUGAGGAUUUUCUGCACUCUGUCCGUGACAUCCAGGAUCCUGGCAACAGGAAGGCAGCACACCAUCCUCAAAUCCCGUCUGUUGCUGCAGAAACCCCUGUCCGUACCUCUCACAAUGGAGUCUCCAACUACAAUGUUCUAACUCCCUUGAAAUAAAAGUUAGCAUAUCAUUAACCUUCACCAUUACCUCGUGCACCUUCUGUUAAGUGUCAUUUUUUUCUAUUUUUGUUUGUUCGUUUGUCCUCCUAAUUCAUUUUUGACUUCAUGAUAAUUUUCCUUUUUUUUUUACUGGAUUCUACAUUUCACUCAAUCCUUGGCAAUAACAUUAACUUUUGCCACAUCAUAUGUUUACUCCUUCAACUCAGUAGCCUCCAAACCUCUUUGGUUAGCCAUAGUUGAUUCAUUCUUCCUCCCUCCUUCUGAGUGACCAGUAACAAGAGAGAUUUGGAAAGGAAUUGGCUGAAUUUCACCACGAAACAAUGAAAAACAGCUUAGCAUGAGUAUUGACGUCAUUAGGUGUGUAUACAGUGCCAGAAACAUGUCACCCGUGCAGGCGUGAUUCGCUGGGAAACAUCUGUUCAAAGUUUUGUAGUGACAUAAAACAAUUCAAAAAUAGUCAUUAUCACAUUUCACACUGGAACAAACUGAUUUUCAGUCAAGGUUAAUAAACAAAAGGUUCUUCACAACCACAUUUCUAGGUCAUAUUUAUUCAACCAUAGCUAUCAAGUGAGCUAAGACUAGCUUAUACUAUUUAAUCUUGCAUGUUGCAUUUUCAAUUAUAAAUUAACGUGCAAUCACAUAAAAUGUUAAAUAUGUCUGACUGAGAGGUAUAGCUCAAUCUUCUUAUUUGUAACUAGUUAAAAUGUAAUGAACUGCAUAAAACUAAUUCAUUUCUAAUUUUUGUUUGAUUUGGUCUGUGUUUUUGAACCUAUUGUUUGCAUCUCCAAUUCCAGUGAAGGUUGGUGGAGGAUUUAUAUCAUGUUGACAUUAUCUCCACUGAUUUUGCAAAGCCAUCAGCUUUGCAGAUAGGGUAUUGUAUUACAGUGAUUUAUUUGGUUGAUAUGUAGCCAUAUAAUGUAGCAUUGCGCCAGGCUGCGUUUGCAAAUGUUGUUGUGAAAUAGCACUUUUCUAAAUCCUUUACACCUGGGAUGACGUCACUAACUCACUGCAUUAUGCAGUUUUGUAUCAGGAUUCUCCUCAAUAAAAUACAAUAAAUCAUUCAGCGUGCAUGAUGUUUUGUGGUGGAUUUAAAUCAAUCAGGGUUUAGCAUCUGUGGUAAGGGACAUCCACUAGUUUAAAGUGGAUGAAAGGGAGUGAAAGCUGAGAACUUUAGAGUAAAGGUCAACUUCAGUAAUGGUACAAAGAGUUCGCAAGAAAGCAUGCGUGGUUAUAAUUGCAGUGAUCUUUGAUCUCUCUUUGCUGUUUGCAGAAGGAUUCACUUUGAUACUGAGAGAGUGUCAUCUGGAAAUAUUUAUUCAAACAGUGCAUAGCUUCAAAAGUUUGAAAAAUGGAAUAUGGCGAAUCUUUUAUCUGUUUAAAGUAAAUAUCUUACUUAAUUAUCUGCAUAACCUUUUGAAUUUGAUCCUUUGCGUACUUCUAAUGAUCAAGGUUAAAACACUGGACCUGGGAAAAAGAGAUAAGCACAGAUUAUUGUCAUACCAACCUCAGAUAAUAGGCACGCACACAACCAACUGUGCCAAGCUAUAAACUUCCCUGUACCACAUCCAAAUCUUUGCUGCAAGUUUAUCUCUCCUUCUGUGAAGGUUUUGUUCCAUAGUUUGCACUGUUCUCAGUCCCCCACAGCUGCAUUCCAGGACUCCGUCUGGGAAGGACAUUCACUCCCAUGUUCUCUCCCUUACUACUGGGAAUUAAAAAUCCUUUUACCCAACUCUCAGUGCAUCAGGGCAUGUGAGGUGGGAGAAAGUCCAGCCUUUCCGGAAUUAGUGGACUAUUUCUUAUUUUCUCUUACAAUUUAAAAGGAAUUCAGAAUCUAAUCGAAGACAGGUCUCAGAACAAUCUGACCAAUCCUAUUGUGUCGGAAGGAACUGCAGAUGUUGGCAUGCACGGAAGCCAGACACAAAAAGCUGGAGUAACUCAGCAGGGGCACAGAAAUGAAGAAUACCUCUUUCCCAAGCAUCUCACUCAUCAGGGGGGUACUCUGGAACCGCAUGGCACUCGGAUCGCAUUUCUGCAAGGUCCUCACAAACACGUCUGACUACAACAGUGGUCAGCUACACAGCUGUGGUGUGAAAGCAAAACUGCGCGAAACAGCAGCCCCUCCCAAGUCACGUCACUCGAGGGUAAGAUCUUGCAGACAAAACACAAAUUGGCAGAGUUGUGAAUAGUGAGGAUGGUUGUCAAUGGAUACAGCAGGAUAUUGAUCAGGUGAAAAUGGGGGCGGGGAAAUUGCUGAUGGAGUUUAAUCAAGAGAACUGUGAGAUGGUGGACCUUAGGAGGUCAAGUAACGUAAGAGCAAAGAAUACUGUCAAUUGCAGGUCCUUUCUGAGUAAUGAUGCAUAGAGGGAUCUUGGAUGCAAGUCCAUAGCUCCCUGAAAGUGAUCACACAAGUAGAUAGGGCAUCGUAUGACAAUUUUGAACAACAAGAAGUAUUAGAUCAGGAUUACAAACAAAUUUGUUAAAACUUUCAUGGAAAAGUAGCAAAUUCUUUCAAAAAAUGAUUACAGUAGCAUUUUGAUUAAAUUAAGUUUUGGUGUUUUAAGCACAAGAUAUUCAAGAGUUUGUCACCUGCAGAACAUUCUUCAAAUAUUCUUCAAAUGUUCUGACUUAGAAAAAUCUCACACUAAGAACUAUAUCAGAUGGGAAAUGCAAUAC